CCUAACACGAAAUAAAAAUGUCUGAAGAGCACUGAAAGUAUCUUUCCUUGACUACCGUGAGCGUGCUUGAUUGAUCCACAUGGACGUAACGAGAUAACCGGAAUGCUCACAUUGUUUAAACACAUAUGUAAUAUAAGCAAGAACGAGCAUGGAUUCCUGGCAAUGCCACGGGACCAGGAUUAAGCAAAAGUAAAUACUCAAUUAUAUCUAAAAUUACGUCCAAAUCAUUAUGUUUGAUCGUUUAACGACGCGAAUGUAUCUAUAUAAGUGAACUUACAUUUGUAUUUUUAUCUUCUUUUUCUAUU